GACGAACGCUGGCGGCGUGCUUAACACAUGCAAGUCGAACGGAAAGGCCCUGCUUGCAGGGUACUCGAGUGGCGAACGGGUGAGUAACACGUGGGUGAUCUGCCCUGCACUUCGGGAUAAGCCUGGGAAACUGGGUCUAAUACCGGAUAGGAGCCAUUUUUAGUGUGAUGGUAGGAAAGUUUUUUCGGUGUAGGAUGAGCUCGCGGCCUAUCAGCUUGUUGGUGGGGUAAUGGCCUACCAAGGCGGCGACGGGUAGCCGGCCUGAGAGGGUGGACGGCCACAUUGGGACUGAGAUACGGCCCAGACUCCUACGGGAGGCAGCAGUGGGGAAUAUUGCACAAUGGGCGCAAGCCUGAUGCAGCGACGCCGCGUGGGGGAUGACGGCCUUCGGGUUGUAAACUCCUUUCGCUAGGGACGAAGCUUUUUGUGACGGUACCUAGAUAAGAAGCACCGGCUAACUACGUG
rnacentral:rRNA from 1 species